CCUCCCCUCAGCAAUCGGAUCAGAGUCUCUGGGGGUGGGGCCCCGGGCAUGAGUAAUUUAGAAGUCUCUUCCGCGACCCUCGUGCAGUGCUUGUGCCCUGAACUACCCGGAGGCAACUGACGCGCCCCCUUUGCCCCCCUGUGGGGUAGCUCUGAGUCAUUUACAUCCUGUGACCUUGACUGUCACAGGAGGGAGUCCAGGGGCCCUCCGCUCUUGACAGGACACCUGGAAACUGAAAGAAGGUGGUGAGCAGGGCGCCACCCGCCCAAGGGUGGGGAGUUCAGAGUGCGUUGUUGGGUGUGUGUCCGCGCGCAUGCGCAAGCGUCUCGGCGCAUGCAGAGGCGUGUUCUCGGCUGAAGGUUCGUGGAAAUACGUCUCUCUGGGCGUAUGCAGGUCCUUCUGGGCCGUUCUGCCUGCACGCGCCCGUGCACUUUUGCCUCUGUGCUGCAGCCUGAUCGGUAUGCUGUUCCCGGGCAGCCUCCCCAAAGACCGCACACGGGCGGGUUCUGUGUGGACAGAGUCAAGUGCGGGCUUAGAAAAAUCCACCACGGCCUCUUCAGGCACAAUGUGUUCAGUCGGCCUGCAGGUGGGCAGCUGUUCUCGCUGGCAGCCGGUGGCAGGCCCCGCGUACCCCCUGGGCAUGCCGGGCCCACCGCCCCACCCCUAGGGCACCACCUAGGCACAUCCCUCCCUCCUGCAGAGCCUUCAGUGACCCCUCACUGCCUACAGGAUAAAGUCCAAGCUCCUGGCCCCGCAUCCCAGGCCUCUGACUACUGACCUUUACCUCACCGCCCUCACCGCCCCCAUGGCACCAUGCUCAGGGCCACCUGGCACCGUUUUCUUGGACACCGGGGUGGUAUUAAGCCUCCAGCUGCCCCCUCUGCUGGGCCUCUUACCCUUCUGAGCUGGUAAGGCCCAGCUCAUCGCUCCCCUCCCUGGAAGCCUUCUCUGCCUUUCCCACGAGGAAUGGAUAGCUCUUCCCUCAGUGCUAAGCUUCAAACCACCAUCGAAGCUUCUGCUCCGCAUAGUAUUGGUCAGCUGGGGUGUGUGUCCCCACCAAACUGCGGCCUCCUCUGGGGCUAUCUCACUGGUGCCCCGGGGCCAGCCUGGUACCUCUGGGCUGGACUCCAACGUCUGGGAGAGUCACCCUGAGCAGAAUCCCAGCGCCCAC
rnacentral:lncRNA from 1 species